GACGAACGCUGGCGGCGUGCUUAACACAUGCAAGUCGAACGGAAAGGCCCUGCUUUGGUGGGGUGCUCGAGUGGCGAACGGGUGAGUAACACGUGAGUAACCUGCCCUUGACUUUGGGAUAACUUCAGGAAACUGGGGCUAAUACCGGAUAGGAGCUCCUGCUGCAUGGUGGGGGUUGGAAAGUUUCGGCGGUUGGGGAUGGACUCGCGGCUUAUCAGCUUGUUGGUGGGGUAGUGGCUUACCAAGGCUUUGACGGGUAGCCGGCCUGAGAGGGUGACCGGCCACAUCGGGACGGAGAUACGGCCCAGACUCCUACGGGAGGCAGCAGUGGGGAAUAUUGCACAAUGGGCGGAAGCCUAAUGCAGCAACGCCGCGUGCGGGAUGACGGCCUUCGGGUUGUAUACCGCUUUCGCCUGUGACGAAGCGUGAGUGACGGUAAUGGGUAAAGAAGCACCGGCUAACUACGUG
rnacentral:rRNA from 1 species